GCAUUGAAUCUGCCCUUUCUAGGCAGGUGACACUCGUCUGUUGCUGGAAGUAAGCCUCCUGCUGGAGUUAAUCAGCUGCCAUCCUCUGGCCCACAGAUCAAACACGAGUGGCCCGCGGGCACCGCCGAUCAUUUGAUUCGGUUCUGGCUCCCCGGGUUGAGAUAUGACCGUAGCAGCCUUGCAAAGGGCUGAAAGACUAGUUCCGUAGGUGAACCUGCGGAAGGAUCAUUA
rnacentral:rRNA from 1 species